rnacentral:rRNA from 1 species
GACAGAGGGUGCAAACGUUGUUCGGAAUUACUGGGCGUAAAGCGAGUGUAGGCGGUGUGGUAAGUCGGAUGUGAAAGCCCCGGGCUCAACCCGGGAAGUGCACUCGAUACUGCCACGCUAGAGUAUCGGAGAGGUUGGUGGAAUUCUCGGUGUAGAGGUGAAAUUCGUAGAUAUCGAGAGGAACACCGGUGGCGAAGGCGGCCGACUGGACGAAUACUGACGCUGAGACUCGAAAGCGUGGGGAGCAAACAGG